ACAGUUCCCUUUUGCCUCCAGAGUUAUUUUUCCUUUUGCUCUCCUCUUUAUUUAUUUUCUUACCCCAUUCUCCCUUUUCUUUCCUUUUCGCCCUCCCAAGCUGUCAACAACAGCUCCCCUAGACUCUGCCUAGCACAGAAUUUUGCUGAUUUCUGAGAAAUUCAAGAGGCAAACCUGCAGGGCAAAGAAACUCUACAUGGUGAAUUGGUACCUGACCUUCUUUCGUAAGAGGGAAAACUGGGGCGUGGAACUUGUCAGUGGAGCUCAGCGUGCUACAAGAGCAGCUUGGUUUGUCCUAGUUGAGGACUGGAAAAUCUCAAUCUCUAGUCAACAAACGAGUGUUCCUACCCAGGGAUGGCCUGCUUCCGAAGAGGCACAGUGCUUUGGCAUAGCCCGCAAGAGCAAGCAUCAGCCUGGGAAGAGGACUGAUCCCACACCCACCCAUCCACUCAUUUAUUCAGUGCUCCACAUAUCGCCAAGUGCCUUCUAUGUGUCAGGCAAGGCUGAGACCUGGCUCCCACUCAUGGCGGCUAGGUGGUGAAAACUCAGCUCCUUUGCCCCUAGAAUGGUCAGGAAGAGCCCCAUGCAGCCCCAUUAAGAAGGGGCAGAAUGAAGGAGCUGCUUCCUCUUAAUGACAUUGUCCAAGAAUGACCAUGCUCUUCAAUGAUGCUCCAUCCAGCCCGGCAUUGUGCAGCUAUGUGGAUGUUAUUAUUCUAUCUUGUGAAAGGACACGGUGAAUGCUGGAAUCAGUGAAUCACCCAAAGAAAUGAGAGGUGGAGUGGGUGGGCGGGUGGAGCCAGCAAGCUAGAGUUGUCCUUUGUCCUCAGAGGCAGCUUUGGCCGUAGUACUGGGUUUGAAGGGACGUGGAAGUGACACGUACCACCACUGGGCCAUGGCCUUAUGACAUUGGGCACUUGCUCCUCUAUCCUCUCAUCUCCCUUCCUGUGGGCUGGGAUGCAUGGGCAGUGUGACCCAGCCUUCAUCAUGCCUGUGAGGCUAACACUGGGGAUGCCAGGACCUGAGAUGGAGAACCUGGGUCCCCAAAGAGUGUGUGAAGUGGAACCUGCUGCCAGUCUAGACUGCUCACCUCUCCUGUGUGUGAGGCAAACACACUUCUAUCUUAUUUAAGCCACUGACUUCUUGGGCCACUGUUACAGCAACUUAGCCUUUGCCCUACUAAUACAAAGGGGUGAAAGAGCAGCGCUCUCUUUCUUUCCUGAGUUUAGAACCAGUUAAGAGGAUAGUGGACCCAGAAAGAUGCAGAGCAAAAUACUGUGUCUGUUACUGGUAACACUGGGCUGGAAAAUGCAGCAUCGAAGCUGUGGCCAUGCAGGCUUGCUAAUACCUCGCUUUCGAGUUAGACCUACCUGCCUAGUCCCUGGCACAGACGACAGCUGCUGGUACUGGGGGCAUAUGAAGGGGAAGAAAUGGUGCCUCCAGGAAGGAGAGAAGAGGCUGAGCCGAGGAGCCUUGUUUUUUUCCCUCCCAAACUCACCAAUCAGAUAGAUCUUUUCUCCUCUUCUGGGCAGAGUAGGAGAGGCAGGUGGGGAGAGGUGAGGAGGUUACCAUAGUUGAAGGCCUCUCCCAGAAUGUGAAGAAUGGCGAGCCCCCCUCACAGGGCAAAUGCCCUGCAGUGGGCACUGGUGGUGUUGCUACCAAGGCCCCUAUGCAGGAGUUAGACCACUGAGCAUUCUCUAAUCUUGGGUGAAUCUGCUGGAGGGUUUCAAACAGGGGUUUGGGAUGGGUCAUCAUCAAAUAGUUUCAUGAAAAUCACCUCUGUUCCUCCAUUUCUGAUGACUUAUCGGUGAGCACGCUGGCAUGUGUGGGGCACAAAGACUUUCAGGUGUGCAGAUGGGUGUGCAUAUUUCCAUGGAGGGAUGAGUGCAAGAAGGAGCAGGUCUUCUCCUUUCUUAGAUCAAUGAGUUUUUGAGAUGUGUGAAUGUCUACAUGUUUUGUUUUUCAUUUCAGGAGCCCAGAUAUAUUUAAUACUUUUGGUAUUGGGGCUAUUGAUAAAGACGAACAUCUUUCUAGGGCUAACAAAGAGCAAGGCCGCAGGCGCUGCACAUGUUCAGGCCUCAGCAUCUCUAAACCAGAGAUUGUGCAGCCCUGGUACUGGUUUCCCUGUCUCUGCUAUCUAACCCUCUUUAACACAGUGGUAGCAGAGUGUCCUUCUAAGACCAGGUCUGACGUUAUUCACCUUCUCCAAAACCUCUAAGGGCUUCCCAUGUCCUAAAACAUGAAGUACAAAUCUCUUGUGUGGCAUUAAAAGCUUGCUCUGAUGUGGCCUCAGUGGACAUUUCCAGCAAUAAUUCCCCUUGGCCCACUUUAAGUUUUGCUCCACACUCUAGUCAAGCUGAAGUACCUUCCCUGCUUCCCUCCCUCCCUCCCUCCCUUCCUUUCUUCCUUCCCUCCCUCAGCAUUGGGAAAGACCUCAACAUCUUGGAUUAUGUAAUAGUCUCCUAAGGGGUCUCACUGCUUCUACUUUGACCCCCCUAUUGUCUAUUCUUACCUCAGCAACCAGACCAAUCCUGUUUAAAACCUAAGCCA